UAUGGCCAUGUCAUGUUGAAACAGCAGUUCCUGUAUGAUCACUGAAGUUAAGCAAUACCAAGCCUGGUCAGUACCCAGAUGGGUAACUGCUUGGGAAUACCAGGUGAUGUAAG